rnacentral:rRNA from 1 species
AGGGCGUACGGUGAAUGCCUUGGUGCCAACAGGCGAAGAAGGACGCGGCAAGCUGCGAAAAGCCUCGGGAAGCUGCAAGCAAGCGAUGAUCCGGGGAUAUCCGAAUGGGGUAACCUGAUCGAGGCAAUACUCGAUCGUUCAUACCUGAAUACAUAGGGUAUGAAACGCGAAACCCGCUGAAGUGAAACAUCUCAGUAAGCGGAGGAAAAGAAAGAGAAAUCGAUUCCGUAAGUAGUGGCGAGCGAAAGCGGAUGGAGCCCAAACCGAAGGUAUUCCUUCGGGGUUGUAGGACCACGUCAUAUUCGACCAUACUGGAUAGUAGAACAGCCUGGAAAGGCUGGCCGGAGAAGGUGAAAGCCCUGUAGACGAAAUCCAGAGUGGGAAUUAGUGGUAUCCUGAGUAAUACAUCACACGUGGAACGAUGUAUGAACCCGCGCGGACCACCGCGCAAGGCUAAAUACUAGUUGGCGACCGAUAGUGAACAAGUACCGCGAGGGAAAGGUGAAAAGAACCGCUGUGAGCGGAGUGAAAUAGAACCUGAAACCGUAUGUCUACAAAGUGUCAGAGCAGAGCAAUCUGCGAUGGCGUGCCUUUUGUUUAAUGAGUCUGCGAGUCAGUGUUUGUGGCAAGACUAAGGGCUUCCGGCCCGGAGUCGCAGCGAAAGCAAGUCCGAACAGGGCGCAAUAAGUCGCAGGUACUGGACCCGAAGCGGAGGUGACCUACCCUUGGCCAGGUUGAAGCAUGGGUAAAACCAUGUGGAGGACCGAACAGGUGAACGUUGAAAAGUUCUCUGAUGAGCUGAGGGUAGGAGUGAAAGGCUAAUCAAACCCCGUGAUAGCUGGUUCUCUUCGAAAUGCAUUUAGGUGCAGCGUCACGUGCUGAUGCGCGGGGGUAGAGCACUGACAAGGCUAGGGGGCACACCCGCUUACCAAACCUUAUCAAACUCCGAAUACCGUGCAAUGGAACGUGGCAGUGAGACAGUGGGGGAUAAGCUUCAUUGUCGAGAGGGAAACAACCCAGACCAGCAGCUAAGGUGCCUAAAUAACGCUCAGUGGAAAGGAUGUGGGAUUACACAGACAGUGAGGAUGUUGGCUUAGAAGCAGCCACCAUUUAAAAAAUGCGUAAUAGCUUACUCAUCGAGUGAUCCUGCGCCGAAAAUGAUUGGCGAUCAAGCGUUAUACCGAAGCUCUGGACUUUGCCGCAAGGCAGAGUGGUAGAAGAGCGUUGCAUGCGCGUCGAAGGGCGAUGGCGACUGACCCUGGAGCACAUGCAAGUGAGUAUGCAGACAUGAGUAACGUUAAGCCGGGUGAAAUCCCCGGCCGCCGUAAACCCGAGGUUUCCAGGGCAACGUGUUUCGUCCCUGGGUUAGCCGGGACCUAAGCCGAGGCCGAGAGGCGUAGGCGAUGGACAUCAGGUUAAUAAUCCUGAGCUCGCAACCCUUAAACUGGGGGGACGCAUGAGAAAAGAUGACUAGGUUAUUGAAUUCCGAGUUGAGUCUACGGACUCAGCGCAUCAUUGGAUCGAGUGCCAAGAAAAGCCCCAGCGUAUGCUAAGCGACCCGUACCGCAAACCGACACAGGUGGGUGGGUAGAAUAUACCAAGGCGUAAGAGUGAAACCUGGUUAAGGAACUCGGCAAAUUAGCCCCGUAACUUCGGAAGAAGGGGUGCCUGCAGCGAUGCAGGCCGCAGAGAAAUGGCCCAACCGACUGUUUAUCAAAAACACAGCACUCUGCAAAGACGCAAGUCGAAGUAUAGGGUGUGACACGUGACCAAUGCCGAAAGAUUAAGGCAAGGGGUUAGCCGCAAGGCGAAGCUCUAAACCCAAGUCCCGGUGAAUGUCGGCCGUAACUAUAACGGUCCUAAGGUAGCGAAAUUCCUUGUCGGGUAAGUUCCGACCUGCACGAAUCGUGAAACGAGUUGGGCACUGUCUCAACCAGGCGCUCAGUGAAAUUGUAGUGGCGGUGAAGAUGCCGCCUACCCGCAGAAGGACGGAAAGACCCUAUAGACCUUAACUGUAAGCUGUCAUUGUUUCUUCGGUUUUAAUGCUCAGAGUAAGUGGGAGACGCUGAAGACGCCCUUUAGGGGGCGUCCGAGUCAUCAAUGAGACACCACCCUUUGAAACUGGAGGAUCUAACCCUGAGCCGUGAAUCCGGCCAGAGGACCGUGUCAGCCGGUCAGUUUUACUGGGGCGGUAUCCUCCCAAAGAGUAACGGAGGAGCGCGAAGGUGGGCUCAGCCCGGUUGGCAACCGGGUGUCGAGUGCAUGGGCAUAAGCCCGCCUAACUGUGAGACCAACAAGUCGAGCAGAUGCGAAAGCAGGCCCAAGUGAUCCGGCGGUAGAAAGUGGAAUUGCCGUCGCUCAACGGAUAAAAGGUACCUUAGGGAUAACAGGCUGAUCACGCCCAAGAGUUCAUAU